UCUCUGGUGGCUCAGACAGUAAAGAAUCUGCUUGCAAUGCAGGAGACACAGGUUCAGUCCCUGACUUGGGAA
rnacentral:tRNA from 1 species